rnacentral:snRNA from 1 species
AAAAUAAACCGCAGAGAAUAUAC